CAAUAGCGUAUAUUAAAGUUGUUGCAGUUAAAAAGCUCGUAGUUGGACCUUGGACCUGGACAGGCGGUCCGCCUCACGGCGUGUACUGUCUUGCUGGGUCUUUCCUCUUGGUGAUCUGUUGUUUCGGCAGCAGGGAACCAGGACUUUUACUUUGAAAAAAUUAGAGUGUUCAAAGCAGGCUCGUCGCCGGAAUAUAUUAGCAUGGAAUAAUAAAAUAGGACGUGCGGUUCUAUUUUGUUGGUUUUUGGAAUCGCCGUAAUGAUUAAUAGGGACAGUCGGGGGCAUUAGUACUCACAUGCUAGAGGUGAAAUUCUUGGAUUUUGUGAAGACUAACUUCUGCGAAAGCAUUUGCCAAGGAUGUUUUCAUUAA
rnacentral:rRNA from 1 species